ACAAUGCUGGCAACAGCGAUAAGGGAACCUCGAGUGCCAGGUUACAAAUCUGGCUGUCGAGAUGCCCAAAAAGCAUUUCAUAGCAAGGGCCGGGCAAGACCGGUGCCAGCCGCCGCGGUAACACCGGCGGCUCGAGUGGUAACCGUUAUUAUUGGGUCUAAAGGGUCUGUAGCCGGCCGGAUAAGUCUCUUGAGAAAUCUGGCAGCUUAACUGUCAGGCUUUCAGGAGAUACUGUCUGGCUCGAGGCCGGGAGAGGUGAGAGGUACUUCAGGGGUAGGGGUGAAAUCUUGUAAUCCUUGAAGGACCACCAGUGGCGAAGGCGUCUCACCAGAACGGACCUGACGGCAAGGGACGAAAGCUAGGGGCACGAACCGGAUUAGAUACCCGGGUAGUCCUAGCCGUAAACGAUACUCGCUAGGUGUCGGCCACGGUGCGACCGUUGUCGGUGCCGUAGGGAAGCCGUGAAGCGAGC
rnacentral:rRNA from 1 species